GUGAGCCAAGAAAGACAAUGAUCCUCUGCUGCGAGCCCUUGUCUACUGGUGCCCAGACUGAGUGGAGCAGAACUCGAACUGGUUGACUAAUUCCUACUCCUCCAUCUAGUAAGAUGCUGUCAGUUUGAUUCCUGUGUACUCCAUCUGGUGAGGUCCAUUAAGGAGAGCUGUGUGGAAGACGUAACAAAUGUUCCACGAUUGAGAACACUCGUAGUCAGAAAUCUGAAAG